rnacentral:rRNA from 5 species
ACGGGUGAGUAACACGUGAGCAACCUGCCCCUGACUCUGGGAUAAGCGCUGGAAACGGCGUCUAAUACUGGAUAUGUGACGUGACCGCAUGGUCUGCGUCUGGAAAGAAUUUCGGUUGGGGAUGGGCUCGCGGCCUAUCAGCUUGUUGGUGAGGUAAUGGCUCACCAAGGCGUCGACGGGUAGCCGGCCUGAGAGGGUGACCGGCCACACUGGGACUGAGACACGGCCCAGACUCCUACGGGAGGCAGCAGUGGGGAAUAUUGCACAAUGGGCGCAAGCCUGAUGCAGCAACGCCGCGUGAGGGACGACGGCCUUCGGGUUGUAAACCUCUUUUAGCAGGGAAGAAGCGAAAGUGACGGUACCUGCAGAAAAAGCGCCGGCUAACUACGUGCCAGCAGCCGCGGUAAUACGUAGGGCGCAAGCGUUAUCCGGAAUUAUUGGGCGUAAAGAGCUCGUAGGCGGUUUGUCGCGUCUGCUGUGAAAUCCGGAGGCUCAACCUCCGGCCUGCAGUGGGUACGGGCAGACUAGAGUGCGGUAGGGGAGAUUGGAAUUCCUGGUGUAGCGGUGGAAUGCGCAGA